rnacentral:rRNA from 1 species
CUAAGGCUGAGAACUGAUGACGAGUGUUCCUCGGAACAUGAAGUGCUUGAUGCCAUGCUUCCAAGAAAAGCCUCUAAGCUUCAGGUAAAAAGAGACCGUACUCCAAACCGACACAGGUGAUCAGGUAGAGAAUACCAAGGCGCUUGAGAGAACUCGGGUGAAGGAACUAGGCAAAAUGGCACCGUAACUUCGGGAGAAGGUGCACCGGUUUUGGUGAUGGGAUUUACUCCCUAAGCUGAGGCCGGUCGAAGAUACCAGGCCCCUGCAACUGUUUAUUAAAAACACAGCACUCUGCAAACACGUAAGUGGACGUAUAGGGUGUGACGCCUGCCCGGUGCCGGAAGGUUAAUUGAUGGGGUUAGCGCAAGCGAAGCUCUUGAUCGAAGCCCCGGUAAACGGCGGCCGUAACUAUAACGGUCCUAAGGUAGCGAAAUUCCUUGUCGGGUAAGUUCCGACCUGCACGAAUGGCGUAAUGAUGGGGGCGCUGUCUCCACCCGAGACUCAGUGAAAUUGAAAUCGCGGUUAAGAUGCCGUGUUCCCGCGGCUAGACGGAAAGACCCCGUGAACCUUUACUAUAGCUUUGCACUGAACUUUGAACCUAUCUGUGUAGGAUAGGUGGGAGGCUUUGAAGUCAGGACGCUAGUCCUAAUGGAGCCGUCCUUGAAAUACCACCCUGGUAUGUUUGAGGUUCUAACGUCGGCCCCUAAUCGGGGUUACGGACAGUGUAUGGUGGGUAGUUUGACUGGGGCGGUCUCCUCCCAAAGAGUAACGGAGGAGCACGAAGGUGUGCUAAUCAUGGUCGGAAAUCAUGAGGUUAGUGUAAAGGCAAAAGCACGCUUGACUGCGAGACAGACAUGUCGAGCAGGUACGAAAGUAGGUCUUAGUGAUCCGGUGGUUCUGUAUGGAAGGGCCAUCGCUCAACGGAUAAAAGGUACUCCGGGGAUAACAGGCUGAUACCGCCCAAGAGUUCACAUCGACGGCGGUGUUUGGCACCUCGAUGUCGGCUCAUCACAUCCUGGGGCUGAAGCCGGUCCCAAGGGUAUGGCUGUUCGCCAUUUAAAG